UGGGGAAUCUUGGACAAUGGGGGCAACCCUGAUCCAGCCAUGCCGCGUGAGUGAUGAAGGCCUUAGGGUCGUAAAGCUCUUUCGCCUGUGAAGAUAAUGACGGUAGCAGGUAAAGAAACCCCGGCUAACUCCGUGCCAGCAGCCGCGGUAAUACGGAGGGGGCUAGCGUUGUUCGGAAUUACUGGGCGUAAAGCGCGCGUAGGCGGACUGAUCAGUCAGGGGUGAAAUCCCGGGGCUCAACCCCGGAACUGCCUCCAAAACUAUCGGUCUAGAGUUCGAGAGAGGUGAGUGGAAUUCCGAGUGUAGAGGUGAAAUUCGUAGAUAUUCGGAGGAACACCAGUGGCGAAGGCGGCUCACUGGCUCGAUACUGACGCUGAGGUGCGAAAGUGUGGGGAGCAAACAGGAUUAGAUACCCUGGUAGUCCACACCGUAAACGAUGAAUGCCAGUCGUCGGGUAGCAUGCUAUUCGGUGACACACCUAACGGAUUAAGCAUUCCGCCUGGGAGUAC
rnacentral:rRNA from 1 species